rnacentral:rRNA from 1 species
UACGGAGGGGGCUAGCGUUGUCCGAAGUUACUGGGCGUAAAGCGCGCGUAGGCGGGUUGGUAAGUCCGCUGUGAAAGCCCGGAGCUCAACUCCGGAGGGUCGGUGGAUACUGCCAGUCUUGAAGGUGCUAGGGGGAGAUGGAAUUACCGGUGUAGCGGUGAAAUGCGUAGAUAUCGGUAGGAACACCAGUGGCGAAGGCGGCCGACUGGCCGAGUGCUGACGCUGAGGCGCGACGGCGUGGGGAGCAAACCGG